rnacentral:rRNA from 1 species
GACGAACGCUGGCGGCGUGCUUAACACAUGCAAGUCGAACGGUGAAGCGCCUUCCUUUUUGGUGGGUGUGGAUGAGUGGCGAACGGGUGAGUAACACGUGAGUAACCUGCCCCCUUCUUCUGGAUAACCGCAUGAAAGUGUGGCUAAUACGGGAUAUUCUGGGUCUGUCGCAUGAUGGGUCUGGGAAAGAUAUUGUUUCGGUGGGGGAUGGGCUCGCGGCCUAUCAGCUUGUUGGUGGGGUGAUGGCCUACCAAGGCGGUGACGGGUAGCCGGCCUGAGAGGGUUGACGGUCACACUGGGACUGAGACACGGCCCAGACUCCUACGGGAGGCAGCAGUGGGGAAUAUUGCACAAUGGGCGCAAGCCUGAUGCAGCGACGCCGCGGGAGGGAUGGAGGCCUUCGGGUUGUGAACCUCUUUCGCCAGUGAAGCAGGCCUGCCUCGUUUGUGGGUGGGUUGACGGUAGCUGGAUAAGAAGCGCCGGCUAACUACGUG